AUGCCCUCAUCCUCCUCGUCCCGCCGUCGUCGAGGCAGGAGCGGCGGACGGCACGCCGCGGAUGAGACGGAGACGAGGAACUGGGCGGAGCUGCCGCUGGACGCGAUCUUGACCAUCCUCCACAAGCUCGACCACGUCGACAUCCUUAUGGGCCCCGGCCAGGUGUGCCGCUCCUGGCGCGGCGCCGCCCGCGAUGAGCCGGAGCUGUGGCGCCGCAUCAACAUGCUGGGCCACGCCGAUCUCGAGAACGAGGUCAACCUCCACGGGAUGGCCCAGGCCGCCGUCCGCCGCAGCGCGGGGAGGUGCGAGGCGUUCUGGGGCGAGUACGCCCGUGACCACGACUUCCUCUUCUAUCUCGCCGACCAGGCACCAUCUCUUAAGAGUCUUCGCCUCAUUUCUUGCUAUGAUAGACUUACAGAGGCGAUAAUGAAGUUCCAUUUGCUUGAGGAGCUCGAGCUUUCACUCUGUCCAAAUGUGAAUGACAGUGGUGUCUUUGGGGUUAUCGGCAAAGCAUGCCCACAACUGAAGCGCUUCAGACUGAGCAAGGAUGUGUUCUGUGAUUUUGAAGCUAGUGUCUAUGGAAAGGACGAGGAAGCCUUGGGGAUUGCGACUAUGCACGAGCUACGCUCUUUGCAGCUGUUUGGCAAUAUCCUCACCAACAAAGGACUGACAGCCAUCCUGGACAAUUGCCGCCAUGUGGAGUCCCUUGACAUCCGCCACUGUUUCAACGUCACCAUGGAUGACGCCCUGCGUGCAAAGUGUGCCAGGAUAAGCACACUGAUGCUUCCGAAUGACUCAGCCGAUGACUAUGACUUGGUUGUUAAGAGCCCUAUUCGUGCGGAUUCAGAGUCCUUUCUGCAUGAUUAUAUGGGAUCCUGUUCUGACUACGAGCUUGGCUCGGAAGAUUACGGCGACUACUGCGAUCUUUCCCGCUACCUUGAUGGUGUGUACGAGGAUGAGGACGAGCUUGACGAAGAAGGUAAGAUGAUUCUCGGUGGCAUGCGCAUGUUUAUGAAGUAA
rnacentral:rRNA from 1 species